CAGUAGCCGCGGGAAUACGGAGGGAGCUAGCGUUGUUCGGAAUCACUGGGCGUAAAGCGCACGUAGGCGACUAUUCAAGUCAGGGGUGAAAGCCCGGGGCUCAACCCCGGAACUGCCUUUGAAACUAGAUAGCUUGAAUCUUGGAGAGGCGAGUGGAAUUCCGAGUGUAGAGGUGAAAUUCGUAGAUAUUCGGAAGAACACCAGUGGCGAAGGCGACUCGCUGGACAAGUAUUGACGCUGAGGUGCGAAAGCGUGGGGAGCAAACAGGAUUAGAUACCCCCGUAGUCCCUGUCUCUUAUAC
rnacentral:rRNA from 1 species